GGGGGCGACCGGUUUCGACGGGGAUACUGACGCCAUCGGUGCAUGUCGAGCUCUCGGGGACUCGUAAAACUCCGGGAAAAUGCAACUGCCAAUCAAGAACUGGCACUCGCAGCUUAAUCAGCUGUGACGUCGUUCCAUCUGAGGCCCGCGGGGGUGGAAUGGCGCGAUGCAGCGGGCUGGUCCAACGCCGGUGCUCAGCGGCGAAGGACGAGAACAUUCUGGGCUAGCGGCCGUUCUAAGCCUGCCGAUGGGCGUGGGUGGCCGCGAAAUUUAAACUAUCGGCUACACAUGUAGAUCCGGUGUGCCGACGAUCUUCGGACAGGGGUUCAACUCCCCUCGCCUCCACCA
rfam:Nitrospira japonica isolate Genome sequencing of Nitrospira japonica strain NJ11 genome assembly, chromosome: I